GCGAAAGUGGCGGAAUUGGUAGACGCACUGGAUUUAGGUUCCAGCGGGUUAAACCGUGCGGGUUCGAGUCCCGCCUUUCGCACCA
rnacentral:tRNA from 1 species